AAAAUCCAGAAAUUGCAGGGAAGGACUUCUGGGGGCUGUGUGAACAGUUCCGGCGCGUGGAUCCACGCACCACCGCCACUGGCGGCGCGUGGGUUCACGCGCCGCCGUGAGAAAGAAGCUGGAAACGGUGCGAUCUGGCUAGCCUCUUCUCCCCCUCCUUUCCUCGCCGGUGUUACCUGCAAAAAACAAACCAAAACGCAACAGGCAGUCGAUUUUAUUAAUAAUUUUUUAUUUCUUUUGUUUUCCCGAUCUGCCUCUCUUCUCCUUCAAAUCUGCUUUGGUUUUUUUUGCUUCUUCUUGUCCGAUCUUGCUUCUCCUUCUCUGUUUCAGGCGGCGGUGGAGUUGUGGGUGUCGCCGCUGGGUUCUUCGGUGAGUCGGUUUGUUAUGGCUUUGUCUUCUUCUCCGGUGGUAGAUCGUGUCUGUGGUCGGGUCUGUUACUGGAGGAUUUGAUUCAGUCUUGGCAAGCUGGCUGGCCGGCGGUGAAGGAGAUCGGCUGCUCCUGUGGUGGGCUCCGUUCGCUGGUCGGUGGAAUGCAGUGGAGAAGGUUGUCCGUUCACAGUGGCUGAGAGGGAGGAUCGGCGCUGUUGGUGGAGGGGAGAAGACUGGGCUGUGGGAGAAGAAAGGAAGUGAGCUGCGGUGGAGAGGCAGAGGUGGAAGGUCCAGCGGUGGUGGCUCCGGCGUGCUGGGGAGAGUCUGUGGGCUGGCUGUGAGAAGAAAAAAAAAUGGCUAUGGGGGGGGAAGGGACCGGCUGAGAUUGAGCUGAAAAUCAGGGGGUUGUGGGAGUAAAAAAAUUUCAAACCGGGGAAGGGGCCUGGUUCCGGUGUUGAAAGAAAAACAAAAAAUGUCAAGGGUGGGGGCGGCUGCCUUGAUUUUUUGAUGGUGGCUGCCCGGGAGAAAAAAAUGAAAUCCACCGGGGGGGUGCCUUCGUUUUUGCAUAGGGCGAGGGAGAGUGUGUGGCUGGUUUAUGAAGGGAAAGAGAAGAAAAUUAAUUACAAAGGGGCUGUCUUCGUUUUGCAUAGGGCCAGGGAGAGUGGGCAGAUGGUGAGGGGGAGCGUUUCUGGUCGGCUGGAAACAAAGAAAAGCAGACCAUGGGUGGGGCUGAGUUGCUGAUUUUCAGCUGGAAAAAUAAUGGUCUUGGACCGGGGGGGGCCGGCGGCUGUUUGAAAAAAAAGUGGGGGGAGAAGAUAGGUUUAGGUUUUCUUAUUUUUUUUAUUUUUCUGGUGUUUCCAAAAUUAGCCCCCUUGCAAAAAUGAAAACCCCUCCUUGAAUGUGAGUUUAAGACCAAUAUUUAUAGGCAAAAAAUAUUGUCAAGUUUUCAA
rnacentral:lncRNA from 1 species